rnacentral:rRNA from 1 species
GAUGAACGCUAGCUACAGGCUUAACACAUGCAAGUCGAGGGGCAGCAUUGGAGUAGCAAUACUUCAGAUGGCGACCGGCGCACGGGUGAGUAACACGUAUCCAACCUGCCGCUUACUCGGGGAUAGCCUUUCGAAAGAAAGAUUAAUACCCGAUGGUAUAAAGAGUUCGCAUGUUCUCUUUAUUAAAGAAUUUCGGUAAGCGAUGGGGAUGCGUUCCAUUAGAUAGUUGGCGGGGUAACGGCCCACCAAGUCUACGAUGGAUAGGGGUUCUGAGAGGAAGGUCCCCCAAUUGGAACUGAGACACGGUCCAAACUCCUACGGGAGGCAGCAGUGAGGAAUAUUGGUCAAUGGACGAGAGUCUGAACCAGCCAAGUAGCGUGAAGGAUGACUGCCCUAUGGGUUGUAAACUUCUUUUAUAAGGGAAUAAAGUGAGGGACGUGUCCCUUUUGUAUGUACCUUAUGAAUAAGGAUCGGCUAACUCCGUGCCAGCAGCCGCGGUAAAAAGUACUCUAU